GACGAACGCUGGCGGCGUGCCUAAUACAUGCCAGUUGAGCGCUGAAGGUUGGUACUUGUACCAACUGGAUGAGCAGCGCACGGGUGAGUAACGCGUGGGGAAUCUGCCUUUGAGCGGGGGACAACAUUUGGAAACGAAUGCUAAUACCGCAUAAAAACUUUAAACACAAGUUUUAAGUUUGAAAGAUGCAAUUGCAUCACUCAAAGAUGAUCCCGCGUUGUAUUAGCUAGUUGGUGAGGUAAAGGCUCACCAAGGCGAUGAUACAUAGCCGACCUGAGAGGGUGAGUGGCCACAUUGGGAGUGAGACACGGCCCAAAGGGCUACGGGAGGCAGCAGUAGGGAAUCGUCGGGAAGGGACGAAAGUCUGAGCGAGCAAGGCCGAGUGAGGGAAGAAGGAUGUCGGAUCGGAAAACUCGGUUGGUAGAGAAGAACGUUGGUGAGAGUGGAAAGCUCAUCAAGUGACGGUAACUACCCAGAAAGGGACGGCUAACUACGUG
rnacentral:rRNA from 1 species